rnacentral:rRNA from 1 species
AGUGAACGCUGGCGGUAGGCCUAACACAUGCAAGUCGAACGGCAGCACAGUAAGAGCUUGCUCUUACGGGUGGCGAGUGGCGGACGGGUGAGGAAUACAUCGGAAUCUACUUUUUCGUGGGGGAUAACGUAGGGAAACUUACGCUAAUACCGCGUACGACCUACGGGUGAAAGCAGGGGAUCUUCGGACCUUGCGCGAUUGAAUGCGCCGAUGUCGGAUUAGCUAGUUGGCGGGGUAAAGGCCCACCAAGGCGACGAUCCGUAGCUGGUCUGAGAGGAUGAUCAGCCACACUGGAACUGAGACACGGUCCAGACUCCUACGGGAGGCAGCAGUGGGGAAUAUUGGACAAUGGGCGCAAGCCUGAUCCAGCCAUACCGCGUGGGUGAAGAAGGCCUUCGGGUUGUAAAGCCCUUUUGUUGGGAAAGAAAAGCAGCAGGUUAAUACCCCGCUGUUCUGACGGUACCCAAAGAAUAAGCACCGGCUAACUUCGUG